UCUCCGUAGGUGAACCUGCGGAGGGAUCAUUACACAAAUAUGAAGGCGGGCUGGAACCUCUCGGGGUUACAGCCUUGCUGAAUUAUUCACCCUUGUCUUUUGCGUACUUCUUGGUUCCUUGGUGGGUUCGCCCACCACUAGGACAAACAUAAACCUUUUGUAAUUGCAAUCAGCGUCAGUAACAAAUUAAUAAUUACAACUUUCAACAACGGAUCUCUUGGUUCUGGCAUCGAUGAAGAACGCAGC
rnacentral:misc_RNA from 1 species